rnacentral:tRNA from 2 species
GCGGGUGUGGCGGAAUUGGCAGACGCGCUAGACUUAGGAUCUAGUGGGCGACCGUGCAGGUUCAAGUCCUGUCACCCGCA